GUUUUAGAAUUUAACAACAGUUUAUCGAAGGAUUUAGAUCUAAUGUUGUAGUUGUAGUGUGUAUUAGACAUUUUGGAUAGUUACUUUUACCGACAUUGGAAAAAUGACAUAUUUUAUUUGUACAUAGCCAGUUACAAUAAUGGGGCGCUGUUUCAGUAAAGAAGACGUAGAAUCAUAUACUGCCACCGGAGGAAUAGACAAAAAUAUAGUCGACCUACAAAACAUUGUUAAAGAGUCGGCUUGGAAAAGGUACAGCGAUAGUAGACAAAAGGAUUUUCCAACGGCGAUGAAAAAGGUUCGAUUAGAUUUUGAUUGGACAGGUGUAAAAUUUAUUCCAACGGAACCUGAAUAUUCAGAUUCCGAACCAGCUAAACCCGUAACAGAUGAAGGUGGAUCACAAGUUUUAUUUGAAUCGGUUUUCACAAAUAAAAGCGACCAAGAGCAACACCAUUCUUUGAAAACUGAACAACAGACUACAGGAACAUGCAAUAGCUCAAUAACAAAAGGUUAUACAACUGGCUUCAAUGUUGGCCUGACACUGUCUGCUCCUAUAGAUAUAUUGAAGACAACAGCUGGUUUUUCUAAAGGUUUCUCAGUCGAAAAUACAUUGGCGAAUUAAGAUCAAAGAACAAUGACUUGGUCAGCAGAAGGUGUUUUGUUUUUUGAAAAGCAAUCUAUGCUUACUGCAAAACUUCAAAUAAAAGAAGAGCACAGAUCUUUUACUUUUACAACUAAGGUUGCAGUAAAAGGAGAAGUUAUAGUUACGUUCGAUGAAAGAAAAAACAACAGAUAUCUGAUGGAAUACAGAGCACCAAUAAGAACAAUUUUAGUUCAAAAGAAAGAUAAGUUUACGGAUGCAAAAGGAGAAAUCUUUGUAGAAGACAUUGAUGGAACAGCUUAUGUGAAAGUUGAAGGGAAAUGUAAUUUCAAAUAUGGUAUCAAACAAGAGAUCAUUAUCAACCAGAUCAGUUGUAAAGAAUAAAUUAGUUUGUCCUGAAAUUCAAAAAACAAUACAGAUGCUAAUUCUU